rnacentral:rRNA from 1 species
UACGUAGGGGGCAAGCGUUGUCCGGAUUUAUUGGGCGUAAAGAGCGUGUAGGCGGCCAGGUAGGUCAGCUGUGAAAACUCGAGGCUCAACCUCGAGACGCCGGUUGAAACCAUCUGGCUAGAGUCCGGAAGAGGAGAGUGGAAUUCCUGGUGUAGCGGUGAAAUGCGCAGAUAUCAGGAAGAACACCCGUGGCUAAGGCGGCUCUCUGGGACGGUACUGACGCUGAGGCGCGAAAGCGUGGGGAGCAAACAGG